UACAGAGGUCUCAAGCGUUGUUCGGAUUCAUUGGGCGUAAAGGGUGCGUAGGCGGCGGGGCAAGUCGGAUGUGAAAUCUCAGGGCUCAACCCUGAAACUGCAUUCGAUACUGCCUUGCUCGAGGACUGGAGAGGAGAUUGGAAUUCACGGUGUAGCAGUGAAAUGCGUAGAUAUCGUGAGGAAGACCAGUGGCGAAGGCGGAUCUCUGGGCUGACACUGACGCUCAUGCACGAAAGCGUGGGGAGCAAACAGG
rnacentral:rRNA from 1 species